rnacentral:rRNA from 1 species
AGCUCCAAUAGCGUAUACUAAUGUUGUUGCAGUUAAAAAGCUCGUAGUCGGAUUUCAGUAUUAGAUUCUUCUUCCUUAGGGUUGCUUGAAUCUUUACUUCUUUAACAGAAUCUUUCGUCACAUUAACUUGUGGUGUUUGGGGCCUGUUUCUUUUACUUUGAGAAAAUUAGAGUGUUCAAAGCGGGUUUUCGCCUGAAUAUUACUCUUGGAAUAAUAAUAUAGGACUUUGGUUCUUUUUUGUUGGUGACUUAGAACCGAAGUAAUGAUUGAUAGGGACAGUUGGGGUCAUUCGUACUAUGAAGCGAGAGGUGAAAUUCUUGGACCUUUGUAUGACGAACUACUGCGAAAGCAUUUGACUAGGAUGUUCCCG